rnacentral:rRNA from 1 species
GAUGAACGCUAGCGGCAGGCUUAAUACAUGCAAGUCGAGGGGCAGCAUGAUUGUAGCAAUACAAUUGAUGGCGACCGGCAAACGGGUGCGGAACACGUACACAACCUUCCAAUAAGUGGGGAAUAGCCCAGAGAAAUUUGGAUUAAUACCCCGUAACAUAACGAUGUGGCAUCACAUUGUUAUUAUAGAUUUUUCGCCUAUUGAUGGGUGUGCGGCUGAUUAGAUAGUUGGCGGGGUAACGGCCCACCAAGUCUACGAUCAGUAGCUGAUGUGAGAGCAUGAUCAGCCACACGGGCACUGAGACACGGGCCCGACUCCUACGGGAGGCAGCAGUAAGGAAUAUUGGACAAUGGACGCAAGUCUGAUCCAGCCAUGCCGCGUGAAGGAUUAAGGUCCUCUGGAUUGUAAACUUCUUUUAUAAGGGACGAAAAAAGGCUUUUCUAAGUCGUCUGACGGUACCUUAUGAGUAAGCACCGGCUAACUCCGUGCCAGCCGCCGCGGUAAUAC